CGUUCUCGGCGGAUGGGUGAGUAACACGUGGGUAACCUACCUAUAAGACUGGAAUAACUCCGGGAAACCGGGGCUAAUGCCGGAUAACAUGUUGAACCGCAUGGUUCUACAGUGAAAGACGGUCUUGCUGUCACUUAUAGAUGGACCCGCGCCGUAUUAGCUAGUUGGUGGGGUAACGGCCUACCAAGGCGACGAUACGUAGCCGACCUGAGAGGGUGAUCGGCCACACUGGAACUGAGACACGGUCCAGACUCCUACGGGAGGCAGCAGUAGGGAAUCUUCCGCAAUGGGCGAAAGCCUGACGGACCAACGCCGCGUGAGUGAUGAAGGUCUUCGGAUCGUAAAGCUCUGUUGUUAGGGAAGAACAAAUGUGUAAGUAACUGUGCACAUCUUGACGGUACCUAACCAGAAAGCCACGGCUAACUACGUGCCAGCAGCCGCGGUAAUACGUAGGUGGCAAGCGUUAUCCGGAAUUAUUGGGCGUAAAGCGCGCGUAGGCGGUUUUUUAAGUCUGAUGUGAAAGCCCACGGCUCAACCGUGGAGGGUCAUUGGAAACUGGAAAACUUGAGUGCAGAAGAGGAAAGUGGAAUUCCAUGUGUAGCGGUGAAAUGCGCAGAGAUAUGGAGGAACACCAGUGGCGAAGGCGGCUUUCUGGUCUGCAACUGACGCUGAUGUGCGAAAGCGUGGGGAUCAAACAGGAUUAGAUACCCUGGUAGUCCACGCCGUAAACGAUGAGUGCUAAGUGUUAGGGGGUUUCCGCCCCUUAGUGCUGCAGCUAACGCAUUAAGCACUCCGCCUGGGGAGUACGGUCGCAAGACUGAAACUCAAAGGAAUUGACGGGGACCCGCAC
rnacentral:rRNA from 1 species